rnacentral:lncRNA from 1 species
CUUUAAAGUAUAGAUUUUCCUUUUCUUUUCUUUUCUUUCUUUCUUUUUUUUUUUUUUUUGAGAGAUGGUGUCUUGCUCUGUCGUUCAGGCUGGAGUGCAGUGGCGCAAUAUCGGCUCACUGCAACUCCACCUCACUGGUUCAAGUGAUUCUCCUGCCUCGGCUUCCCGAGUAGCUUGGACUAUAGGCGUGUGCCACCACGCCCAGCUAAUUUUUGUAUUUUUUCGACCAGCCUGGCCAACAUGAUGAAACCCCCAUCUCAACUAAAAAUACAAAAAUUAGCCAGGCAUGGUGGUGCUCGCUGGUAAUCCCAGCUACUUGGGAGGCUGAGAUGGGAGAAUUGCUUGAACCUGGGAGGUAGAGGUUGCAGUAAGCUGAGAUAGCACCAUUGCACUCCAGUCUGGGUGACACAGUGAGACUUCAUCUCAAAAAAAAAAAAAAAAAGCCGGGCACGGUGGCUCAUGCCUGUAAUCCCAGCACUUUGGGAGGCCGAGGUGGGCGGAUCACCUGAGGUCAGGAGUUUGAGACCAGCCUGACCAACAUGGAGAAACCCUGUCUCUACUAAAAGUACAAAACUAGCCGGACAUGGUGGUGCAUGUCUGUAAUCCCAGCUACUAGGGAGGCCGAGGCAGGAGAAUCUCUGGAACCCAGGAGGCGGAGGUGGCAGUGAACCGAGAUCGUGCCACUGCACUCCAGCCUGGGCAACAAGAGCAAAACUUCGUC